rnacentral:rRNA from 1 species
GACGGAGGAUGCAAGCGUUAUCCGGAAUGAUUGGGCGUAAAGCGUCCGCAGGUGGCAGUUCAAGUCUGCUGUCAAAGACCGGGGCUUAACUUCGGAAAGGCAGUGGAAACUGAACAGCUAGAGUAUGGUAGGGGCAGAGGGAAUUCCUGGUGUAGCGGUGAAAUGCGUAGAGAUCAGGAAGAACAUCGGUGGCGAAGGCGCUCUGCUGGACCAUAACUGACACUCAGGGACGAAAGCUAGGGGAGCGAAUGGGG